rnacentral:rRNA from 1 species
UGCAAGUCGAACGAUGAACCACUUCGGUGGGGAUUAGUGGCGAACGGGUGAGUAACACGUGGGCAAUCUGCCCUGCACUCUGGGACAAGCCCUGGAAACGGGGUCUAAUACCGGAUACUGAUCCUCGCAGGCAUCUGCGAGGUUCGAAAGCUCCGGCGGUGCAGGAUGAGCCCGCGGCCUAUCAGCUAGUUGGUGAGGUAACGGCUCACCAAGGCGACGACGGGUAGCCGGCCUGAGAGGGCGACCGGCCACACUGGGACUGAGACACGGCCCAGACUCCUACGGGAGGCAGCAGUGGGGAAUAUUGCACAAUGGGCGAAAGCCUGAUGCAGCGACGCCGCGUGAGGGAUGACGGCCUUCGGGUUGUAAACCUCUUUCAGCAGGGAAGAAGCGAAAGUGACGGUACCUGCAGAAGAAGCGCCGGCUAACUACGUGCCAGCAGCCGCGGUAAUACGUAGGGCGCAAGCGUUGUCCGGAAUUAUUGGGCGUAAAGAGCUCGUAGGCGGCUUGUCACGUCGGUUGUGAAAGCCCGGGGCUUAACCCCGGGUCUGCAGUCGAUACGGGCAGGCUAGAGUUCGGUAGGGGAGAUCGGAAUUCCUGGUGUAGCGGUGAAAUGCGCAGAUAUCAGGAGGAACACCGGUGGCGAAGGCGGAUCUCUGGGCCGAUACUGACGCUGAGGAGCGAAAGCGUGGGGAGCGAACAGGAUUAGAUACCCUGGUAGUCCACGCCGUAAACGGUGGGCACUAGGUGUGGGCAACAUUCCACGUUGUCCGUGCCGCAGCUAACGCAUUAAGUGCCCCGCCUGGGGAGUACGGCCGCAA